CAAUAGCGUAUAUUAAAGUUGUUGCGGUUAAAAAGUUCGUAGUUGGAUUUCUGCCAAGGACGACCGGUCCGCCCUCUGGGUGAGUAUCUGGCUUGGCCUGGGCAUCUUCUUGGAGAACGUUGCUGCGCUUCACUGCGUGGUGCGGUAUCCAGGACUUUUACUUUGAGGAAAUUAGAGUGUUUCAAGCAGGCUUCCGCCUUGAAUACAUUAGCAUGGAAUAAUAAGAUAGGACCUCGGUUCUAUUUUGUUGGUUUCUAGAGCUGGGGUAAUGAUUAAUAGGGAUAGUUGGGGGCAUUCGUAUUUAACUGUCAGAGGUGAAAUUCUUGGAUUUGUUAAAGACGGACUACUGCGAANGNAUUUGCNAAGGAUGUUUNCAUUG
rnacentral:rRNA from 1 species